rnacentral:misc_RNA from 1 species
UCCUCGUUUAAGCGAGGCAGUCUGUCCAGAGUGCUCCCAACUCUCGUUGGAAUCGCAACAGGACAUAAGGGUUGCGCUCGUUGCGGGACUUAACCCAACAUCUCACGACACGAGCUGACGACAGCCAUGCAGCACCUGUGUUCCGAUUCCCUUUCGGGCACACCUGGAUCUCUCCAGGCUCUCGGACAUGUCAAGGGUGGGUAAGGUUUUUCGCGUUGCAUCGAAUUAAUCCACAUAAUCCACCGCUUGUGCGGGUCCCCGUCAAUUCCUUUGAGUUUUAACCUUGCGGCCGUAGUCCCCAGGCGGUGAACUUAAUGCGUUAGCUGCGGCACUGAUCGGGUCAAUCCGACCAACACCUAGUUCACAACGUUUAGGGCGUGGACUAC